rnacentral:rRNA from 1 species
AUACGGAGGAUGCAAGCGUUAUCCGGAUUUAUUGGGUUUAAAGGGUGCGUAGGCGGUUUGCUAAGCGGGAGGUGAAAUGCCGGCGCUCAACGUCGGAAGUGCCUCCCGAACUGGUGGACUUGAAUGACUCUGCCGUGGGAGGAAUGUGUAGUGUAGCGGUGAAAUGCUUAGAGAUUACACAGAACAUCGAUUGCGAAGGCAUCUCACGAAGGGUUGAUUGACGCUGAGGCACGAAAGCGUGGGGAUCAAACAGGAUUAGAUACCCUGGUAGUCCACGCAGUAAACGAUGAUGGCUAACCGCUGGGCUUAUCAGUUCAGUGGCCAAGCGAAAGCGAUAAGCCAUCCACCUGGGGAGUACGACCGCAAGGUUGAAACUCAAAUGAAUUGACGGGG